rnacentral:tRNA from 1 species
UCGGGAUAGCUCACUGGUAGAGCANAAGACUGRAAAUCCUCGUGUCACCA